rnacentral:rRNA from 1 species
AGCCACAGCCAUGUCACCCUGCAGCCCAAGACCGGUUACUCACUGAAGCUAAGCAGGGCUGAGCCUGGUCAUUACCUGGAUGGGAGACCACUAGGGAACACUAGGUUGCUGUUGGAA